AUGGGGGACGCGUCCACCUCCGCCGCUCCCGCCACGCCCACCUCCACGCUCAUCUGCCUCGAGGACGGCAACGACCUCUUCCUCGACGACGAUAGCCCCGACGGCGGCUUGGCGGACUCGCGCCUCGCCGCCGACGACGGUCUCCUGCUCCUCGACCGCGACGACGAGUACGUCGCGCUCAUGCUCUCCAAGGAGGGCGCCGGCGGCGGCGGCACGUGGGGUGAGGAGCUGGACGAGUGGACCAAGGCCGCGCGCGCCGUGUGCGUCGACUGGAUUGUCAAGACGAACGCGAGGUUCCUCUUCAGCGGGAAGACGGCGUACGUGGCGGUGACGUACCUCGAUCGGUUCUUGGCGCAGCGGCGAGUCGAUAGGGGGAAGGAGUGGGCUCUGCAGCUCCUCUCGGUGGCGUGCCUGUCGCUGGCGGCCAAGGUGGAGGAGCACCGGGUGCCGCGGCUGCCGGAGUUCCGGCCGGACGAGUACGACUUCGACAGCGCCUCCAUCCUGCGCAUGGAGCUCCUCGUCCUCGGCACCCUCAAGUGGCAGAUGAUCGCCGGCACCCCGUUCCCGUACCUGAGCUGCUUCGUGGCCAGGUUCCGGCACGACGAGCGCAAGGCCAUCGUCCUGCGCGCCGUCAAGUGCAUCUUCGCCUCCAUCAAAGCGAUGAGCUCGGUGGAGUACCAGCCGUCGACCAUGGCGCUGGCGUCCAUCCUGGUCGCGCGCGGCGGCAGGGAGGGGACGGGGACGGCCCCGAACCUAGAGGAGGAGCUCAAGGCGAUCCUGGGCUCAUCAUGGCAGCAAUUACACACCGGGCAUGUGUAUUCCUGCUACAGCGUGAUGAUUCAGGAGGAGGACAGGUCCACGCAGUCGGGCAGGGAGGUGGCUUCCUCCGGCGUCUCUGCCGCCGCCCCCGCCGGGAGCCCGGGCACCUCCGUCGCCAUGGCCAUGGUCCGUGGAGGGGUGGUUGAACAGGACCCCGUGGAGAGGGCUGGUUGA
rnacentral:rRNA from 1 species